CCUGCAUCCUGUAAAUAGAGGACAAAAUUCUAGCAGAGUGGAGCCUCCUUGGGAUCUACCCUUUCAGUUGCAAGUUCAUGGACAAACACAAGAAGGCAUCAGGCUGCAGUGCAAAAUAUCUAACAAGGUGAACAAAUACUUGGAUUCUGCAUUUGCUGCUGAAGCAGGGGCUGUUCAGAUAGAAGUUACUGCCUCUUCAGUGAGUGAAUGCUGAAACUCAGCUACAAGGCAGUAAAUGACUGAGCAUCUCCUUCUAGGCUACUGCAAAAUGGGGCAGAUCAGGUUCUCUUCAACCACCAUGGGAACAGUAAACUCAACUGGCUGACAGUGAUGUCUCAAGUCCCUCUAACAUGACAAGAAGCAUUUGUCACAUCAUAUACAGUAUAAGUUGCUUUAUCUUUUACAGUAUGUGAACUCUAGAUUGAAUACAGAUGGGAUGCACAGACACAGCAGACCUA
rnacentral:lncRNA from 1 species